ACAUGCUUUGGAUUAACAUGAUUGACAUGCUGUGUUCUUUAUGCAGAUCAAGAAGAGUUUUUUCCAUUUGAGAACACAGUAUUUCUGACUGGGGAGGUGAAGAACCUGCAGCAAAAAACACAAUACAAUUCAAGCAUUUCCUGCUCAUAAAAGGCAAAUACAGAUGUCAGGAAAGUCCUCUCUUCUGUGAACUGUUCCUGGUAAGUAAUGUGAUCAAAUAGCCACCUACAGAAUAUUCAUGAAGAUAUGAUGACAGGCAUUUGAACAUAUUUCAAGAAGAACAGUGAGUAAGAAAUAUUAAAGGACAGUUCCUAUUUUAAGCAAAUUGCCAAUUACCAGUGAGUUUUGUGAACUCUGGAUCCUGACAGAGAAUGGAAUUUCAGAAUGAAAAACACAGCAAGAAAAUAAAUGCUGACCACCACACAGCCUGAGUGUCUGGAUGCCAGGGAUACUAUGAACAGAUAUUUUGAGAUCUUCUGUGGUAUAUCAAAUAGAGAUGCU